GCCGCCCCACCUCGGGCCGCGGCCCCGGGCGCCGCCUUGCCAGAGCAUCCUCGGGGCUCAGCUGGAAAAGCGCUCUCGGCCUCCGGUGCUCUCAACCGGAAUCUCUGACCAAACCCCGUUCUGCCCUUCACCUUCCUCCGCGAAAACCAGAUUUUAAAAAAGAGGUGGCCAGGUGUCCAAAACAGGCAAUACCACGAGAAGGAAUCACAGUACCAGGGAGACCUCUUCCGGAUGUGAAGGCAACACUUUCCUCACUAGGGGCACUGCUCUGGCCAAUACAGUAAGUGACAACAAACUGCCAGCUCUGAGUGUGGCCUUGAGUGGGAAAGGAGUGGCACCACUGUUUUAGCUCAUGCUGCUGUAAUUAAAUACCAUUGACUGGGUACAUUUUAAACAACAAACAUUUAUUUCUCACAGUGCGCGAGAGGCUGGGAACAUCAGGAUCAUGGUGCCUGCAAAGCUGGUGUUUGGUGAGGGCUUCCUGGUUUGUAGAUGGCUGUCUUUUCUGUGUCCUCACAAGGUGGGGAGAGGGAGGGAUCUCUCUUGAGCCUCUUUUACAAGGACACUAAUCCCAUUCAUGAGGACUCCACCUUCAUGACCUAAUCACCUCCUAAAGGCCCCACCUCUUACAUCAUCACCUUGGGCAUUAGGAUGUCAACACAGGAAUUCUGGAGGGACAAACGCUCAGACCAUAGCACCAACAUACCAUCAUUCUCAACAAACUACUGGGGGACUCUGUGCUUCCUGUUCUUGCAGCUCUGAGCUCUGCAGGGUUAGAACUUCACUGCCCAAAGGGGCAUACUCUUUCCAUAGGGUCACAUUAAAUGACAUGCCAGGACUGCCAACUGGACACUCUGGACUCUUCUAUACAGGGAACAGCAGGCAAGAAAAGAAAUGACCAUGUUGUUGGGGGUAGUUUGCCUUAGAGAAGAAACAGGAUUGCUGUUACAGUGUUACACAGUUGGAGCAGGGAGGAAUUUGUGAUUCGCCUGGGUACCUCUUGGUACUCCAUUGUCUGGUUGUGACCAAAAAUGGACAAGUGCAGCAACUCUGUCCCGAGAAAGGGCCUCAGACCCACGAGGACUUAGGGUUUGGGCCACACCCCCAGGUAUGCCACUGAGAGAAGUACAAGUGAUGGUUUGAUGGUGAGGUGGAUUUAGAGCAGAGGAAGGAAAAACGAGUACCAGUUGCCGCCCUGGGACCAACUGCAGCAAUGGGUGCUCUGCUUUUUUCCAAUAACUUCCUUCAUCCAAGUUUCUCCUCAGAAACAGAGGUACCUGGAACCCUUACCAAGUAGGUAAGAAGUGAAUCCACACAUAACCCAAGGGAAGAUUGCAGCAGCCAUGGAGGUUCCCCAUUUGGAUUCCCUUAAUAAAGUGCUUUCUGUUCAGCUGCCAAGAGUGCAGUGAUCUUCCAGCUUCCAGCUACAGCACCUUUGGGAUUCACUAUUAUGUUCAAGUUGAGAUCACGCUCUCCCCAGACAGCCCCCAGCCAAUGACUGAGCAUGAUUUGGGCACUAGAACUGGCCAUUUCUGCUCAAUAUGAUUACCCCUAAUUUGCAAUCUUUGGCUGAGACGUUGUUAGAGCUGAUCGUGACUUGAGGCUCUCGUUGUUCAAUCCUGCUCCCUCUCUUCUCACAGGCGUUAACCCCAAUACACUUCUUAAUUUUCUCUCAGUAUCUGUUUUUCUGAAGGACCCAAGCUGAUGCACCCAGGCAAUAAAAUAAUGUUAAACAGAAAAACAAAAACUACAUAUAAUUAUACAUAAAAAUAUACAUACACUACAAUUACAAAGAUAUUUUAAAUGUGAGUUUAUAUAGAUGAGACCUGAAAGAAGACAUAGAAGAAUAAAACUGGUUUAUCCAUUAGUGUAAAAGGAUUGUGAACCAAUUUUUUUUUUCAGCAUGAAUACUUUUAUAUAAUCGGGAAAAUAAACCAUAAACUUUGAAGAUGAAUCCACUGAGAAUAG